UCCCCGAUAGUCUAGUGGUGAGGAUAUCUGCUUGUCAUUGAUAAUACAAAGAUUCGCAGGGGACCGGGGUUCAAUUCCCCGUCGAGGAG
rnacentral:tRNA from 1 species